CCUACGGGCGGCAGCAGUAGGGAAUAUUGCUCAAUGGGGGAAACCCUGAAGCAGCAACGCCGCGUGAAGGAUGACGGUCUUAGGAUUGUAAACUCCUUUUUGGAGAGAAGAUAAUGACGGUAUCUCACGAAUAAGCACCGGUUAACUCAGUACCAGCAGCCGCGGUAAUACGGAGGGUGCAAGCGUUACUCGGAAUCACUGGGCGUAAAGAGUGCGCAGGCGGGAUUGUAAGGCAGAUGUGAAAUCCUGUAGCUUAACUACAGAACUGCAUUUGAAAUUAAGAGUCUAGAGUGUGGGAGAGGUAGGUGGAAUUCGUGGUGUAGGGGUAAAAUCCGUAGAUAUCAAGAGGAAUACUCAUUGCGAAGGCGACCUACUGGAACAUUACUGACGCUCAUGCACGAAAGCGUGGGGAGCAAACAGGAUUAGAUACCCGUGUAGUC
rnacentral:rRNA from 1 species